GAGUUUGAUCAUGGCUCAGGAUUAACGCUGGCGGCAUGCCUAAUACAUGCAAGUCGAACGGAGUAGCAAUACUUAGUGGCGAACGGGUGAGUAACACGUAUCUAAUCUACCAUUUAGUGGGGAAUAACUGUUGGAAACGACAGCUAAUACCGCAUAAUAUUGCUGGAUAAUUUCCAGUAAUGAAAGGAGCUUUCAAGCUCCGCUGAUUGAUGAGGAUGCGGCGCAUUAGCUAGUUGGUAGGGUAAUGGCCUACCAAGGCAAUGAUGCGUAGCCGAUCUGAGAGGAUGAACGGCCACAUUGGGACUGAGACACGGCCCAAACUUCUACGGAAGGCAGCAGUAGGGAAUUUUUCACAAUGGGCGAAAGCCUGAUGGAGCAAUGCCGCGUGACUGAUGAAGGUCUUCGGAUUGUAAAGGUCUGUUGUAAGGGAAGAAAUGGUAAAACAGGAAAUGGUUUUAUCUAUGACGGUACCUUACCAGAAAGCCACGGCUAACUAUGUGCCAGCAGCCGCGGUAAUACAUAGGUGGCAAGCGUUAUCCGGAUUUAUUGGGCGUAAAGGGUGCGUAGACGGUUUUGCAAGUCUGAGGUUAAAUUUAGGAGCUCAACUCCUAAUCGCCUUGGAAACUACAAGACUAGAGUAUAGGAGAGGUUAGUGGAAUUCCAUGUGUAGCGGUGGAAUGUGUAGAUAUAUGGAGGGAACACCAGUGGCGAA
rnacentral:rRNA from 1 species